GAAGAAGGAAGAGAAGGAGGAGGAGGAGGAGGAGGAGGAGGAGGAAGAGGAAGAAGAAGAAGAAGACGACUGCUGAUCCGGCACAGACCAACCAAUUUGUGGAGUUUAUCUUCCUGGUGCUGUGGCCAUCCUGCAGGAACACUUAACUCAGGAAGGGCAGGAAGCCUGUGGCUGGGCCUGGAUGUUGGUAUGGUCUUUUCUGUCUUUAUUUCAUCCUUCCCGUCUGGUCUCAGUGACUUUGGAUUUCCAAGCUGGCAGCCCCUUGAUUUGGGGCUAAACUGUUUGACAUGCUCUUUGGUAAGAAAACUCAGGCCGUAAUUUUUUUGAAUUAUUUUCUACAUGAGAUACUUAAUCAUGAAAACAUAGUGUGCCAAAACUUCUUGCGAAAACAGUUUGCAGGAGAUGUCUCCAGCUCUAAGUGUCUCCUACAAUAAAUAACUCAAUGAUGCACCAUAGGGUCUUGGCAAAAAACAAGCUCAAGUCAAAACCAAAUCAAUAUUUGGAAAGAAUUAAGAUCAGGGCAGGGAUUAAUCAAAUGGGAAUGUAAAAGGAUUCCAAGGAACAAAGGGUUUGUUCUUUGUAAAUCGGAUCCACAAAUUCUUCUCCACCUGUCUGGCAGAAAGCAAAGCCUCACCUUAAUAAGUCAGAGGUGAGAAAGGAGUCAUUUGGAACCUGGGGGUCAUUAGGAUAUUCUGAAAGAAAAAAAAAGAUAUUUUCCUAAUUGGAAACUUUUAAAGGAUUCAAUGAAUUGUUUGGUAUAUAUGAUCUACCAGAAUUAAACCCAGAUGAGACAAUUUAAAGA